GAUUGUCACAACUUGGUGGUAUUGCCAGAGUGGCUUUCAGAUCUCAAUUCACUUCAAAAACUUAUGAUUCGAUAUUGCCCAAGAUUAUCCUCUUUGCCAGAGGGGGUAACUCACCUCACUACCUUAAGAGAAUUGGAGAUUGUUCGUUGUCCUAAUUUGAGGAGAAGUUGCAAGCGAAAUGUUGGCAAGGAUUGGCCUAAGAUAGCACACAUCCCUUUGGUCAAAUUGAUUUAAUGAUUAGGAUAGAAUUGACGAAAUUUAAGGGAGAGAGGCAUCAAGAAAAGCAACACUUAGCCCUUCACAUCAUCAACGAGGCUCAAAAGUGCCGAGAUCUUCUGCUCAAGAUUGCAGGACCAAGCCAUAUUGCAUCGUUUGAUGCUGCUUUGCCAUGGAUAGGAGCCCCUACUAUCUUAUUGUACUUUCUGUAUGGUUUUUCCAGACUCCCUUCUUCUUUUCAAUUUGUUUUUCAACUAUUAGGCUGCAAUUAUGAAUAAUUUGAACGCAGAAACACGUAAUUGUGAAUAUUAAUAUUGCUAGCAUCACCAUAACAGUGCUACCAGUUUAGAACUAGGCAUCUUAGAUUAUAAAUAACAGCAUGGAUGUUUGCUGGUGUUGUCUAUGAGUGAUGGAGAAUCUUGCUAACAGUUGACUCCAUAGAUGGUCAUUACAGUGAAUUUGACAAAAUGAGUACUAUUGAACCUUGUGCAUAUAGGCACAAAUCUGCACUUUAAAUGUGUGCCUCUGUUCUUGCUAUAUAAAUGCAUUGUACUUCU